rnacentral:misc_RNA from 1 species
AGACCCGUGCGCCUUCUCGCCGCCUGUUUACGUCUUCAAGCUGGCGUUGCCGCCAGGUGCCGCUCGCCGCUAAAUCGCUUUCUCCCCCUUCCCUUCCCUUCCUUUCCUUCCCCCGUCGCCGUGCUUGUUGCCGCGUCUUGCUCUCUCCAAGGUCUCUCUCUCAACCCGAACGGCUGUCUGGCUCUCACCUCCACUCGCCGGCAACGGCAAGCUCGAGAGCAAGGAGAACCCGACACUCAUAAGCGGGCGCCGUGUGUGCUUAGUCUCCUCUCUAAACAGGUGAGCAUCCAUGCAUAGCGCAAGAUAGCGCCACCCUCGUUGUCGCGCGCGCGCAUACACAAACGAAACCCCACGGAGGCGCACGCACUGCCAAACAGAUGCACGAGCCUGUAUGCACACGUGCAUGCACUGAGCUCGACGUUUGUUUGUUUUCUUUUUGCCUGUCUAGCUCCUCAAUGCUCUCCUGCACUGCUACAUCCUCCUCUCUCUUCAUCAGCCAUCACCUCCUUGGGUAG